GGUAAGAUGGCUGAGGUUAGGCGUUAAACUGUAAAUUUAUAGACGAAUUAUUUUCUCUUACC
rnacentral:tRNA from 1 species